CCGGAGAUGCCUCCCAGGAAGAAGCAAGAACCAGACAGUGACGAGGACGAGCCUGCGCCAGUGGCUGAGGACUUGCUUCGACAGAUGGCAUCCCUCUGUACGUUACUGACGCAGCAGCUUGGUAGCAGCACGCCCGCCGCCCAGCCGUCCCCGGACACGCAGCUGCGCCUGAACUUGCCGGUACCGACAUUUUCGGGCUACAACGACUCCAAGUCGGCUGAAGAUUUCCUCGCCGACUUGAGUGCUUACCAAACUGCCGUUGGAGCCACCGACGACGUCAUUCUGCGUCGAGUACUUCCCGCAGCGCUGUGGCCUUGGUCCCGCUUGCGUGCCGAUUGCAAGAUGACAUCUGCAACAUCGGACCUUUCAUCGUGGUGCGCGUUCUGGGCAAAGACGUUGCAGGUUUGGUGGACACCGGAGCAGCUGUUUCCCUGAUCGGCGACACCAUCCACGACUGGUGCCGGGAGCGGAACAUCUCGGUACGGACGACCAGGACUCUCCUAAGGCUCGCCUCUGAUGCGGUUGUACCUGCCGGUGGCGCGGUGCGCCUUACCUUGACUGUCGAUGGACAUCGGGUCAGACAACGCUUUGUUUACCUUCCUGGACUGGCAGGAGCAAUGAUCCUGGGACGCGACUUCAUUAUCCGGAUGGGACUUGUCCUGGACUUGCGUCGCGGAGGCUACCAGCAUGCAUGCAGCAGUACCUUCUUCCCAUUCCUGGAGUGGACAACCCCUGGAGCGGACCAACGCCGGACUGGUGAGGGAACCCAGGACGACUGCUCAAAGCGAAACCGGUAACCGACUGGCAACAGCGAUGAAACUAAGCAGCAAGCCGCUCGAGUACUUCGCGGCGCUGGACAAUCACUGCCCGUUGAAGAGCAUCACGGAGCGGGAUACCAAACGCCUGUAGUUGCAACUGCUGCCUUGCAUGAGGGUCUGCAAGGGAUUUCUGGAACCUCAGAGCAACGAGAAAUGCUGGAGCAAGCAUUGCUACCCUUUUCCCGGAUGUUUACGGAAAAACCAGGUUUGACCGAAGUCUUGGAACACGGCAUAGACACCGGCGACGCAAGGCCUUGGAGAUGCAACCCGCGGCCGCUUAGCGUCCACAAGCGCAAGUUGCUCGAUGCUGCGCUGAACGAAAUGAUCGAGACGGGUGCUGUGAGACCCUCGCGCAGCCCGUGGGCCUUUCCGGUGGUACUCGCUCCGAAGAAAGAUGGAACCGCAAGGUUGUGCGUGGACUACCGCCGGUUGAACGAGGUGACGGAACACCUUUCACACCUGAAAGUCGUGUUGGGACGUAUGCAAGCUGCUG